rnacentral:rRNA from 1 species
GACGAACGCUGGCGGCGUGCCUAAUACAUGCAAGUAGGACGCAGUUGCGAACGGGUGAGUAACACGUAGGUAACUACCUAUUAGAGGGGGGUAACUAUUUGAAACGAUAGCUAAUACCGCAUACUAGUAGAUGGACCUGCGUUGGAUUAGUUAGUAGGUAGGGUAAUGGCCUACCUAGGCAACGAUACAUAGCCCACCUUGGAGGGUGAUCGGCCACAAUGGGGAUGAGACAAGGCCCAGACUCCUACGGGAGGCAGGAGUAGGGAAUUUUCGGCAAUGGGGGGAACCCUUGCCGGGGAACGUCGCGUGAGUUAAGGAGGGUUUCGGAACGGUAAACUCCGUUGUUAAGGAAACGGUACUUAACCAGAAAGGGACGGCUAACUACGUGCCAGCAGCCGCGGUAAUAC